UGCCGUUUGUGCAUAACUUUUACCCAUUUUUAAUGCCAAUCUCUAACAAAUUAAGAGGUGUUUGCUAAUAUUAAAUAUAGGUGCUUGGUUUGCUGAUGUGAGAGAUAGGUGACAUGAUACAUAUGAGUUCAAAAUACGCCUCUACCAAUAAAACAAGAUAAUUAAUUUGGUACUGUAUCUAAGGCUAGAGUGUUAGGCCUCAAUUUAAGUUGUUUGAAUCAGCAUCAGAAAUUAUUCCAUUCUGUUAGAAACCCACUUAUCCAAUUAUUCAUUUACAUAAAUUCCCACAGCCUUUAAUGGUAACUUCUGCAGAUAUGAAAAAAAUAAAAAAAAUUGUAGAAGCACUAAAC